rnacentral:misc_RNA from 1 species
AUUUAAACAGUUUCAUUUUAAAUUCCAAGUACACAGUUGGAACAGUGUCAUUGAUAAUAUGUAAGAAAUUAUCAUUCAUAUUAGGGAAUAAAGAGCAAGAAGUACUGUGCCUUUUCUUAAAAGGUGAUUGCAAAAUCAAACUCAACGAGGAAAUGGAAUCUGAGACCAAGUCCAACAAACGCAAAAGAUUAGAUGAAGAAUCUGACGAAUCAAAGCAAGAAAAAAGACCUCGGCUGGACGACACCUUUGAAAAACAUGAGGAAACUUUGAGAAACAAUAAUACAACAGCUGUAUCCAAGGCUCCAACACCUAUAUUAGACAAUAUAAAUGAUACAGAAUCCAAUAAAACUGAAGAAGAUGAAUCAUAUCGUUUUAUAUCUGUAUCUGAAAGCAAGAAUGGGAAAGAAAAUGCAGUUUUCAUUAAAAUGCCGGCAAAGUCUGAUGCCUGUUGCCUGCCUGUUAUCGAUAUUGAAAAGGAAGACGGUGCGAUUGAGAUGACUGCUAGCGCACGAUCUUUAUAUUCUAAAGAUUAUCUGAAUGACGAGGAAAUUCGUAAUUAUGAUGCCAGUAUAUCCUCUACAAUCGUAUCUGAAUCUAAGAGCGAUGAUGAAUCGAAAGGCAGGGAUACCAAAGCAGAGAAAGACGAUCUAAAAAUGGCAUUUAGAUAAAAGGUGGUGACAUCAAGUUUGAUACCAUCUAUACUUUUCAAGAGGAAGAAGCCAGGCUUGAUAUCUGCGUUGAAAAACAGAUCGAAAUUAAUCGGCUCGAAACAGGAAACACUAAUGAAGGGCUUAUUUCACUUGAAGAAUUAAAUGCUCAAAUUGAACAAAGGGAUGUAUCAGAUGCAAAUUUGGUGGAAAAUGAAUGUGAAGAUUUAGUUUCCACCACGGAAUCAGAAAAUCGAAAUACUACAAGUGAGGCAUCAGUUAAUGAAAAAGAUGAAGAGAGAUUUUUGUAUAGGUUACUUAGACCAACCGAGUCUUAUAAUAAAGGAAUUGAACCAAAAGACGUCUAUUCGAAAACAUCUAUAAAUGAACACGUUGCCUGCGGAUCGUCCGAUGGCGUGAAAUCAAAAUACAUAUCCUGCUCAAAAACACGCGAUGCAAUUAAUAGAUUUGCGUCUUAUAUAAAACCGGCUUUACGCUCUCAUUUACGACACAUUGUCAGAAUUGACAAAACCAAGCUCGAUGACGAAUGUGAAAUAUAUGAUCUCGCAGAGUAUUCGGUCAGAACAAGGUAUCUUAUAUCUAACUCUGCCAAAAGAUAUUCUCUUGAUUAUGAUGAAGUAUUACUUGCACCAUCACGUGAAAUACCUGUUCGGUGUUUUACAAAAGUUGGAGCUGUCCUGAAUGGAAAAAUAAAUUGGAUUGACGAUGCGUAAUGACUUUUCACAACUGAGAAUUGUUUUUAAAAAAUAAACAAGAAGACAAAAUUGUGUAAAAUUUUUAAACAUUAUAUCAAAACGAGAAAGAAAAUCCACUUAAACAUAAUUUUAACACUAUUCUUCAAAAGACGGAUAUUUAAAAAAAAAUUUAGUACACACUCAACAUCAGACAUUGGACAUUGUUUCAAGUCCCUAAUACAUAUUUUGAAAACC